rnacentral:rRNA from 1 species
UACGGGGGGGGCAAGCGUUGUUCGGAAUUACUGGGCGUAAAGGGCUCGUAGGCGGCCAACUAAGUCCGACGUGAAAUCCCCAGGCUUAACCUGGGAACUGCGUCGGAUACUGGAUGGCUUGAAUUCGGGAGAGGGAUGCAGAAUUCCAGGUGUAGCGGUGAAAUGCGUAGAUAUCGGGAGGAACACCGGUGGCGAAGGCGGCUUCCUGGACUGUCCCUGACGCUGAGGCUCGAAAGCGUGGGUAGCAAACAGG